UUUUCAGUUUCUAUUUCACCUUUCAUUUAGAGUUUUAUUUGGUGGUGCACUGCCUCAUCUCUUGUGUGUGGAGUUUCAUCCAAGGAGCUGUGACUGUUCCUUCCUGAGCGUGCAGCACGGGGAAGACAGGUUCCAGCUUCCAGUCCAACCCUCAGCCCCAGGUUCACACCCACCAGCCCAAGCUUGCCCAGGUCUGCACUCCCUCUCCCCCUCUUUUCAAUAAACACUAGUUUCCUAUUAA